rnacentral:rRNA from 1 species
AUAUUAGUAAGCGGAGGAAAAGAAACUAACAAGGAUUCCCUUAGUAACGGCGAGUGAAGCGGGAAAAGCUCAAAUUUAAAAUCUGUCUGGUUUCCAGACCGAGUUGUAGUUGAUAGAGACGUUUUCGGUGGGCUCCUAGGUAUAAGUCCUUUGGAACAGGGCAUCAUAGAGGGUGAGAAUCCCGUCUUUGACUUAGAGUUGCCUACUAUGUGAUACGUCUUCUAAGAGUCGGAUUGUUUGGGAAUGCAGUCCUAAAUGGGUGGUAAAUUUCAUCUAAAGCUAAAUAUUGGCGAGAGACCGAUAGCGCACAAGUA